rnacentral:tRNA from 2 species
GGGCCCGUAGUCUAAUGGUAAAAUAGCUCGUUUGCACCGAGCAGCUCCGCGUUCGAUUCGCGGCGGGUCCA